rnacentral:tRNA from 1 species
GGGGCCGUGGCGCAGCGGCAGCGCGCUUCCUUGGCAUGGAAGAGGUCGAGGGUUCGAUUCCCUCCGGCUCCACCA